rnacentral:rRNA from 1 species
CCUACGGGUGGCAGCAGUAGGGAAUCUUCCACAAUGGGCGAAAGCCUGAUGGAGCAACGCCGCGUGGGUGAAGAAGGUCUUCGGAUCGUAAAACUCUGUUGUUAGAGAAGAAAGUGUGCGAGAGUAACUGUUCACGCCUUGACGGUAUCUAACCAGAAAGCCACGGCUAACUACGUGCCAGCAGCCGCGGUAAUACGUAGGUGGCAAGCGUUAUCCGGAUUUAUUGGGCGUAAAGGGAGCGCAGGCGGUCUCUUAAGUCUGAUGUGAAAGCCUUCGGCUUAACCGGGGUAGUGCAUUGGAAACUGGGGGACUUGAGUGCAGAAGAGGAGAGUGGAACUCCAUGUGUAGCGGUGAAAUGCGUAGAUAUAUGGAAGAACACCAGUGGCGAAGGCGACUCUCUGGGCUGUAACUGACGCUGAGGUUCGAAAGCGUGGGUAGCAAACAGGAUUAGAUACCCGAGUAGUC